UGGGGAAUAUUGGACAAUGGGGGAAACCCUGAUCCAGCAAUGCCGCGUGUGUGAAGAAGGCCUGAGGGUUGUAAAGCACUUUAGGUGGGGAGGAUGGUAGAGCAGGUUAAGAGCUAGUUUUAUUGACGUUACCCGCAGAAUAAGCACCGGCUAACUCCGUGCCAGCAGCCGCGGUAAUACGGAGGGUGCAAGCGUUAAUCGGAAUUACUGGGCGUAAAGGGCGCGUAGGCGGUUUUUUAAGUCAGAUGUGCAAUCCCCGAGCUCAACUUGGGAACUGCAUCUGAGACUGGAAGGCUAGAGUACUGGAGAGGGUGGUGGAAUUCCUCGUGUAGCGGUGAAAUGCGUAGAUAUGUGGAGGAAUACCAAUGGCGAAGGCAGCCCCCUGGGAUAACACUGACGCUCAUGCACGAAAGCGUGGGGAGCAAACAGG
rnacentral:rRNA from 1 species